GCUGGCGUAGCUCAACUGGCAGAGCAGCUGAUUUGUAAUCAGCAGGUUGGGGGUUCGAGUCCCUCCGCCAGCUCCU
rnacentral:tRNA from 1 species